GAGCGUUGUUCGGAAUCACUGGGCGUAAAGGGCGUGUAGGCGGUCCGCUAAGUCUGGUGUGAAAGCCCGGGGCUCACCCCCGGAAGGGCAUUGGAAACUGGCGGACUCGAGUCCCGGAGAGGAAGGUGGAAUUCCUGGUGUAGCGGUGAAAUGCGUAGAUAUCAGGAGGAAUACCGGUGGCGAAGGCGGCUUACUGGUCCGGUGCUGACGCUGAGGCGCGAAGGCCAGGGGAGCAAACAGG
rnacentral:rRNA from 1 species